rnacentral:rRNA from 1 species
AUUGAACGCUGGCGGCAGGCCUAACACAUGCAAGUCGAACGAGUGGCGGACGGGUGAGUAGUGUCUGGGAAACUGCCUGAUGGAGGGGGAUAACUACUGGAAACGGUAGCUAAUACCGCAUACCAUCAGAUGUGCCCAGAUGGGCUUAGCUAGUUGGUGGGGUAACGGCUCACCAAGGCGACGAUCCCUAGCUGGUCUGAGAGGAUGACCGGCCACAUUGGAACUGAGAAACGGUCCAAACGCCUACGGGAGGCAGCAGUGGGGAAUAUUGCACAAUGGACGAAAGCCUGAUGCAGCCACGCCGCGUGUAUGAAGAAGGCCUUCGGGUUGUAAAGGACUUUCAGCGGGGAGGCGUUAACCGCAGAAGAAGCACCGGCUAACUCCGUGCCAGCAGCCGCGGUAAUAC